rnacentral:rRNA from 1 species
UGCAUUAGCUAGUUGGUAAGGUAAAGGCUUACCAAGGCGAUGAUGCAUAGCCCGAGUUGAGAGACUGAUCGGGCCACAUUGGGGACUGAGACACGGGGCCCAAACUCCUACGGGGGGAGGGGCAGCAGUAGGGGGAAUCUUCCACAAUGGACGACAAGUCUGAUGGAGACAACGCCGCGUGAGUAGAAGUUAAGGUUUCGGAUACGUAAAGCUCUGUUGUUGGUGAAGAAGGAUAGAGGUAGUAACGUCGGUCCUUUAUUUGAACGGUAAUACUAACCAAGAAAGUCGACGGACUAACUACGUCGCCAGCACGCCGACGGUAAU